GUGAGGAAUAUUGGACAAUGGAUGGAAAUCUGAUCCAGCCAUGCCGCGUGCAGGAAGACGGCCCUAUGGGUUGUAAACUGCUUUUGUAUGGGAGCAAUAAGGUCUAUGCGUAGACUGAUGAGAGUACCAUACGAAUAAGCAUCGGCUAACUCCGUGCCAGCAGCCGCGGUAAUACGGGGGAUGCAAGCGUUAUCCGGAUUUAUUGGGUUUAAAGGGUGCGUAGGCGGUUUGAUAAGUCAGCGGUGAAAUAUUUCAGCUUAACUGAAAGGGUGCCGUUGAUACUGUCAGGCUUGAAUAUGGUUGCUGUGGGUGGAAUGUGUGGUGUAGCGGUGAAAUGCUUAGAUAUCACACAGAAUAUCGAUUGCGAAGGCAGCUCACAAAGCCAUUAUUGACGCUGAUGCACGAAAGUGUGGGGAUCAAACAGGAUUAGAUACCCCUGUAGUCC
rnacentral:rRNA from 1 species